ACUGGCGCAUGCGCGGCAGCUGUUCGACGAAAUGCCCGAGAGGGACGUCGUCUCAUGGACGACGCUGGUGGAUGGGUAUGUGCGGGGAGAGCUGCCCGACGAGGCAUGGCUGGUGUUUUGCAGGAUGGUGGUGGCGGGGAGGCUGCAGCCGAAUGAGGUGACGCUGGUCUCCGUCGUAACGGCGAUCGGGCAGAUGGGACUGCUGGCCUUGGGGAGGAGGGUGCGUAAGUAUGUUGCAGAGAGUGGUGUAGGUGUCGGUGUUAAUUUGGAGAAUGCGCUGAUUGAUAUGUUUGGGAAAUUCGGGUGUGUGGACUCUGCCAGGGAGGUCUUCGAUGGCAUGGCGGCCAAGGAUGUGUACUCGUGGACGACCAUGGUUAACGUUUAUGCCAAGUGCGGUGACUUGGAAAGCGCGGCUAACUCCGUGCCAGCAGCCGCGGUAAGACGGAGGAUGCAAGCGUUAUCCGGAAUGAUUAGUCGUGGGAGACG
rnacentral:rRNA from 1 species